rnacentral:rRNA from 1 species
CGGGGGAGUAGCUUGCUACUGGACCUAGCGGCGGACGGGUGAGUAAUGCUUAGGAAUCUGCCUAUUAGUGGGGGACAACAUCUCGAAAGGGAUGCUAAUACCGCAUACGUCCUACGGGAGAAAGCAGGGGAUCUUCGGACCUUGCGCUAAUAGAUGAGCCUAAGUCGGAUUAGCUAGUUGGUGGGGUAAAGGCCUACCAAGGCGACGAUCUGUAGCGGGUCUGAGAGGAUGAUCCGCCACACUGGGACUGAGACACGGCCCAGACUCCUACGGGAGGCAGCAGUGGGGAAUAUUGGACAAUGGGGGGAACCCUGAUCCAGCCAUGCCGCGUGUGUGAAGAAGGCCUUAUGGUUGUAAAGCACUUUAAGCGAGGAGGAGGCUACUUUAGUUAAUACCUAGAGAUAGUGGACGUUACUCGCAGAAUAAGCACCGGCUAACUCUGUGCCAGCAGCCGCGGUAAUACAGAGGGUGCGAGCGUUAAUCGGAUUUACUGGGCGUAAAGCGUGCGUAGGCGGCUUAUUAAGUCGGAUGUGAAAUCCCCGAGCUUAACUUGGGAAUUGCAUUCGAUACUGGUGAGCUAGAGUAUGGGAGAGGAUGGUAGAAUUCCAGGUGUAGCGGUGAAAUGCGUAGAGAUCUGGAGGAAUACCGAUGGCGAAGGCAGCCAUCUGGCCUAAUACUGACGCUGAGGUACGAAAGCAUGGGGAGCAAACAGGAUUAGAUACCCUGGUAGUCCAUGCCGUAAACGAUGUCUACUAGCCGUUGGGGCCUUUGAGGCUUUAGUGGCGCAGCUAACGCGAUAAGUAGACCGCCUGGGGAGUACGGUCGCAAGACUAAAACUCAAAUGAAUUGACGGGGGCCCGCACAAGCGGUGGAGCAUGUGGUUUAAUUCGAUGCAACGCGAAGAACCUUACCUGGCCUUGACAUACUAGAAACUUUCCAGAGAUGGAUUGGUGCCUUCGGGAAUCUAGAUACAGGUGCUGCAUGGCUGUCGUCAGCUCGUGUCGUGAGAUGUUGGGUUAAGUCCCGCAACGAGCGCAACCCUUUUCCUUACUUGCCAGCAUUUCGGAUGGGAACUUUAAGGAUACUGCCAGUGACAAACUGGAGGAAGGCGGGGACGACGUCAAGUCAUCAUGGCCCUUACGGCCAGGGCUACACACGUGCUACAAUGGUCGGUACAAAGGGUUGCUACACAGCGAUGUGAUGCUAAUCUCAAAAAGCCGAUCGUAGUCCGGAUUGGAGUCUGCAACUCGACUCCAUGAAAGUCGGAAAUCGCUAGAAUCGGCGG